AAAACCUAAAUCGUUACAACUUUCAACAAUGGAUCUCUUGGUUCUGGCAUCGAUGAAGAACGCAGCGAAAUGCGAUAAGUAGUGUGAAUUGCAGAAUUCAGUGAAUCAUCGAAUCUUUGAACGCACAUUGCGCCCCUUGGUAUUCCAUGGGGCAUGCCUGUUCGAGCGUCAUUU
rnacentral:rRNA from 1 species